CUUGGGUCCGGCAUAACCCCGGGAAACUGGGGAUAAUUCCGGAUAACGCACAUAUGCUGGAAUGCUUUAUGCGUCAAAUGGAUUCGUCUGCCCAAGGAUGGGUCUGCGGCCUAUCAGGUAGUAGUGGGUGUAAUGUACCUACUAGCCGACGACGGGUACGGGUUGUGAGAGCAAGAGCCCGGAGAUGGAUUCUGAGACAUGAAUCCAGGCCCUACGGGGCGCAGCAGGCGCGAAAACUUUACAAUGCGGGAAACCGUGAUAAGGGGACACCGAGUGCCAGCAUCAUAUGCUGGCUGUCCGGGUGUGUAAAAUACACCUGUUAGCAAGGGCCGGGCAAGACCGGUGCCGGCCGCCGCGGUAACACCGGCGGCCCGAGUGGUGAUCGUGAUUAUUGGGUCUAAAGGGUCCGUAGCCGGUUUGGUCAGUCCUCCGGGAAAUCUGACGGCUUAACCGUUAGGCUUUCGGAGGAUACUGCCAGGCUUGGAACCGGGAGAGGUAAGAGGUACUACAGGGGUAGGAGUGAAAUCUUGUAAUCCCUGUGG
rnacentral:rRNA from 1 species